ACAGAGGGUGCGAGCGUUGUUCGGAAUUAUUGGGCGUAAAGGGCGCGUAGGCGGUGCGGUAAGUCACCUGUGAAAGCUCCCGGCCCAACUGGGAGAGGCCGUUCGAAACUUCGAGACUUGAAGGCGGGAGAGGCAGAUGGAAUUUCCGGUGUAGCGGUAAAAUGCGUAGAUACCGGAAGGAACACCAGUGGCGAAAGCGAUCUGCUGGCCCGCCCUUGACGCUCAGGCGCGAAAGCUAGGGGAGCGACCGGGA
rnacentral:rRNA from 1 species